UCCCGGAUAGCUUAGUCGGUAAAGAAUCUGCCUGUAAUGCUGGAGAGCCUGGUUCGAUUCCUGGGUCGGGAA
rfam:Ovis aries breed Texel chromosome 1, whole genome shotgun sequence.